rnacentral:rRNA from 1 species
UGGAUCCAGACUUUGAUUAUGGCUCAGGAUGAACGCUAGCGACAGGCCUAACACAUGCAAGUCGAGGGGCAGCGGAGAGGUAGCAAUACCUUUGCCGGCGACCGGCGCACGGGUGAGUAACACGUAUGCAAUCCACCUGUAACAGGGGGAUAACCCGGAGAAAUCCGGACUAAUACCCCAUAAUAUGGGCUCUCCGCAUGGAGGGUCCAUUAAAGAGAGCAAUUUUGGUUACAGACGAGCAUGCGCUCCAUUAGCCAGUUGGCGGGGUAACGGCCCACCAAAGCGACGAUGGAUAGGGGUUCUGAGAGGAAGGUCCCCCACAUUGGAACUGAGACACGGUCCAAACUCCUACGGGAGGCGGCAGUGAGGAAUAUUGGUCAAUGGUCGGCAGACUGAACCAGCCAAGUCGCGUGAGGGAAGACGGCCCUACGGGUUGUAAACCUCUUGUCGGAGAGUAAAGUACGCUACGUGUAGCGUAUUGCAAGUAUCCGAAGAAAAAGCAUCGGCUAACUCCGUGCCAGCAGCCGCGGUAAUACGGAGA